rnacentral:lncRNA from 1 species
ACCUUCUCCCAGAAUCACUGUUUUCUCUAAUAAUCUUUCAUUGCAUACCCCCGACAUCCGCACUCAGAUUGCUGAGUAUCGUAGAGAGAUCGCAGAGCUUAGAUAGGAGGUGGCUGACCUCACUUUACAGAUAGGAGUGUCUGAUCUCACCCAUGCUACAGAAGCCGACUGUCUAUAUCAGGAGAUCGCAGAGCUCAGGCAGGAAGUAGCCACGCUCCGUGGAUCCACUCAGGAAGAUGACAUCCCCACUAUAUGAUCUCACCAUUCCAUCUUAUUUUAUCUUUU